UGAAAAGAAGCUGAAAAUUUU
rnacentral:piRNA from 1 species